GUGCUUCCCUGGGCAGCACAUAUACUAAAAUUGGAUAAGAUUAGCAUGGCCCCUGAGCUCACAAAUUCGUGAAGGCUUCAAUUAAAAA
rnacentral:snRNA from 1 species